AUUGAACGCUGGCGGCAUGCCUUACACAUGCAAGUCGAACGGCAGCGCGGGAGCAAUCCUGGCGGCGAGUGGCGAACGGGUGAGUAAUAUAUCGGAACGUGCCCAGUAGUGGGGGAUAGCCCGGCGAAAGCCGGAUUAAUACCGCAUGAGACCUGAGGGUGAAAGCGGGGGAUCGCAAGACCUCGCGCUAUUGGAGCGGCCGAUAUCAGAUUAGCUAGUUGGUGGGGUAAAGGCCUACCAAGACAACGAUCUGUAGUUGGUCUGAGAGGACGACCAGCCACACUGGGACUGAAACACGGCCCAGACUCCUACGGGAGGCAGCAGUGGGGAAUUUUGCGCAAUGGGGGAAACCCUGACGCAGCAACGCCGCGUGGGUGAUGAAGGCCCUCGGGUCGUAAAGCCCUGUCGGGUGGGAAGAAGCCCUUGACGGUGAAUAAUCGGCGAGGAUGACGGUACCACUAGAGGAAGCACCGGCUAACUCUGUGCCAGCAGCCGA
rnacentral:rRNA from 1 species